UUAGUCUAAAGUAGGAGGGGAAAUCGCACUAUUCAUAUGAACAGUGUUUUGGACCACAUUUCAGUUUAUUUACAAGACUGCCACUUAAAUGCUUUUGAACAACUUUUUCUGAUUUCCACCCUCUGCAUUUCAACCUUUGACUUGAGGAGAGAGAGCGGAGGGAGACAGAACGGCUGACAAAUUGGAGAGAGAAGAUGAUGCCUCUGAAUUUUCACUGAGACACAACUGGGUGUGGCUGUGCCGAAAGGAGAGGAAGGGGACAGAGCGAGUGGAGAUGAUGGAAACAGAGAGGCUGACAGAUUGGAGAGAGAUGGGAGCUACGGGUUUAGUGCCAGGAUCUAUGGGAUUUUCUGCGAUUUUAGAGAGAGGAAUUAUCAGAGAGAGAUACAGAAUGGAAAGCAUGCGUGUAUGCAUUGGUUAGGGUUAAGAGGUCACGCACAGAGUCGGUGAGGAGGGGAUGGGUGAGGGAGGAAUGGCAGGGUGUGGGUUUUCAGUUUUCUCGGAGGGGAUGGGUGAGGGAGGAAUGGCAGGGUGUGGGUUUUCAGCUUUCUCCCUUGAUUCAAAAGAUCAAACCAUCCAUUCACACAGCAGCCACAAGACAGACCAUUAGUGAGCUCAAGUAUACGCACUUUUUUCAGAAACAGAGUCUCAUCCACCGGAAUCUGGAUUUCCUAGCAGCAGUUAUCAGUUUUUUGCUAUAGUGCGGAAGAUGUCCACUCUAAAAAAAAGUGAACAAUGCAAUCUCUGUCAUUUUUCUUUCAAUCCCGAAGUUCGUAUUUCAGGAACUUGGAUGGUUGGACACAGCACUUCGCCCUUUGGCUUUUGAGAUCGCGUAACGUUCGAUAGUUGAUGGAUUGAUGCCUAGAAUCCUACUACUAAUUUUGGGCUACAGGCUUCACCAUUAUUUACAGCAGAGAUGUUGUUUUAAGAGUCAUGAGAAAAGUUAGGGUAAGCAUGUACGAGUAUCAGCUGGAAAGCAUGUUUGUUCACCACAUGAGGCGGAUAAUUGUUCAGAUGUAUAUGGAUUUGCUUUUGUUGGACUGUGCUGCUUUAAAGUUCUGGAUUGGUGCUAUCAGUGAAGAUGUCCCCCCUGUGCUGCGUUGGGGACUUUCUUGAUUCAAAAACCAGCUGUGAUCUGUUGCAAGAAAGACUCAGAAAAGAAAAUACCUCUACGUACCGAAGAUUAUGUCCAACUUUAGCAUGCUUGAAACCGCGGAAUCACAACCACCAACAGCUAUGGCUGCGCAGUUCGUCGUCGUCCAGUAUUCCUCCGAAAUUCAACUCUCUCUUUACUCUCUCCGACUCAGUGCGUCUCUAUUCUUCCAGGCCCAGGGUUGUGAUUCUGGAUGCUGACAUGAUUAACCACACUUGGUGCGGAGAAAUGCAAGCAUGUUGCAGCGUAUUAUGGGUUUACUUCGACUACAUGAGGAGCUUCAGAGUUGAAUUUGAUGAGUUUUUUGAGGAAGGAAUGAUAUCAGAAAUUGAAGUUGGAUUAGGUCCGUGUGGAGAGCUAUGGUAUCCUUCUUAUCCUGAACGGCAUGGUUGGAAAUAUCCUGGUAUUGGUGAAUUCCAGGUACCUUAACAAAUGGUGAUCCCUCCUUUCAUUAGUGGCAUGCAUAAUAGCUAGGGACUGACGGUUAUUUAUAAAUGUUUAAGUUAAUAGCUCGUCAUUCAUCAGUGGUUAUGAACUUAAGCCUGUAGCUCAUUUGAUUUUUUACUUCUAUCUGAACUUUGAAGUAGUUCUCUGAUUCAACCUGGUUUAGUCGAUCCCCUUUUGUCGCGAUGCCAAUUUACGGUUCUUAUCAUGUAAAUUGGUUGAAUGUUGCUUCUGUUUCUUAUGAAAACAGAGAAUUUUUUGCAACCACGUCUUUUGUAAUCAAGAACGUUCAAUUUUGUCCUAUUAA